UACAGAAGUUGCCCAAACAGGAUGGUGUG
rnacentral:piRNA from 1 species